ACAGAGAGAAGCAAGACUNUGAAGAGGAGCCAAACUCAAAAACCGGUCCCAGUUCGGAUUGUAGGCUGCAACUCGCCUACAUGAAGUCGGAGUUGCUAGUAAUCGCGGAUCAGAAUGCCGCGGUGAAUGCGUUCCCGGGUCUUGUACACACCGCCCGUCACACCAUGGAAGUUGGGGGCGCCCGAAGUUGGUCGGGAAAUAGAUUACCUAAGGCGAAACCAAUGACUGGGGUGAAGUCGUAACAAGGUAUC
rnacentral:rRNA from 1 species